rnacentral:rRNA from 1 species
UAGGGAAUCUUCCACAAUGGACGAAAGUACUGAUGGAGCAACGCCGCGUGAGUGAAGAAGGGUUUCGGCUCGUAAAACUCUGUUGUUAAAGAAGAACAUAUCUGAGAGUAACUGUUCAGGUAUUGACGGUAUUUAACCAGAAAGCCACGGCUAACUACGUGCCAG